UACGUAAGGGGGCGAGCGUUGUCGGAUUACUGGGCGUAAAGCGCGCGCAGGCGGUCUUCCAAGUCAGUGGUGAAAGCCCGGAGCUCAACUCCGGAAUUGCCAUUGAAACUGUAAGACUUGAGGAUGAGAGAGGUGAGUGGAAUUCCCAGUGUAGAGGUGAAAUUCGUAGAUAUUGGGAAGAACACCGGUGGCGAAGGCGGCUCACUGGCUCAUUUCUGACGCUCAGGCGCGACAGCGUGGGGAUCGAAACAGG
rnacentral:rRNA from 1 species